rnacentral:tRNA from 1 species
GGUGGUAUAGUGGUUAAGCACUUGGCUGCUAACCAAAAGGCUGAUGGUUCAAACCCACCAGCCACUG